rnacentral:rRNA from 1 species
UACGGAGGGUGCAAGCGUUAUCCGGAUUCACUGGGUUUAAAGGGUGCGUAGGCGGCUUGAUAAGUCAUUGGUGAAAGCUCACAGCUUAACUGUGAAACUGCCAUUGAAACUGUCUAGCUUGAAUCUGGUUGAAGUGGGCGGAAUACAACAUGUAGCGGUGAAAUGCUUAGAUAUGUUGUAGAACACCGAUUGCGAAGGCAGCUCACUAAGCCAACAUUGACGCUGAGGCACGAAAGCGUGGGUAGCGAACAGG